UACAGAGGGUGCGAGCGUUAAUCGGAAUUACUGGGCGUAAAGGGCUCGUAGGCGGCCAACUAAGUCAGACGUGAAAUCCCUCGGCUUAACCGGGGAACUGCGUCUGAUACUGGAUGGCUUGAGUUUGGGAGGGGGAUGCGGAAUUCCAGGUGUAGCGGUGAAAUGCGUAGAUAUCUGGAGGAACACCGGUGGCGGAGGCGGCAUCCUGGACCAACACUGACACUGAUGAGCGAAAGCCAGGGGAGCAAACGGG
rnacentral:rRNA from 1 species